UUAAGCGGAGGAAAAGAAACUAACAAGGAUUCCCCCAGUAACGGCGAGUGAAGCGGGAAGAGCUCAAGCUUAAAAUCUCCAUACUUGUAUGGCGAAUUGUAGUCUAUUGAGGCUGUUGUCAGCAUCGCGAUCGGGGACAAGUCCCUUGGAAAAGGGCAGCAUGGAGGGUGAUACUCCCGUCUCUGCUCCGAUUUGCGGUGUGUACGAUACGCUUUCUUUGAGUCGAGUUGUUUGGGAAUACAGCUCAAAGUAGGUGGUAAAUUCCAUCUAAAGCUAAAUAUUGGUGCGAGACCGAUAGCGAACAAGUACCGUGAGGGAAAGAUGAAAAGAACUUUGAAAAGAGAGUUAAAGAGUACCUGAAACUGUUGAAAGGGAACCGUAUCGUUUCCAGUGUUUUAUCCUGUGCAUAUUUCAUUCGCGGAGCAAUUUGCGGGUGCCCUGUGCAUGGGUGUGACGUCAGAGUCAGUUUGUAUGCUGCGGGAGAUGGUCAGUGAGGAGGUGCGUCACUUCGGUGAAAGUUAUAUCUCGCUGUCUAGUAGCCGUGGUUGAGACUGAGGUGCCUACAACAUGCCUUGGGGUUUCGUGUUGUCUCGUGUUAAUAACUGCUUUGAUAGCUUGCUAUGUCUGUGGUUUAUUGAUGCGAUUGAUGAUGCGGAUAACCUCUGCUGUUCGGGACUCUGGCGAAAUGGAGCGAUACGACCCGUCUGA
rnacentral:rRNA from 1 species